rnacentral:pre_miRNA from 1 species
CAACUACUCCCUCUGUCCCAAAUUUCUUGUCUAAGAUUUGUCUAGAUACGGAUGUAUCUAAUACUAAAAUGUGACUUGAUACAUCUGUAUCUAGACAAAUCUAAGACAAGAAUUUUGGGACGGAGGGAGUACUUU